rnacentral:rRNA from 1 species
UGGGGAAUAUUGGACAAUGGGCGCAAGCCUGAUCCAGCCAUGCCGCGUGAGUGAUGAAGGCCCUAGGGUUGUAAAGCUCUUUCACCGGUGAAGAUAAUGACGGUAACCGGAGAAGAAGCUCCGGCUAACUUCGUGCCAGCAGCCGCGGUAAUACGAAGGGGGCUAGCGUUGUUCGGAUUUACUGGGCGUAAAGCGCACGUAGGCGGACUUUUAAGUCAGGGGUGAAAUCCCGGGGCUCAACCCCGGAAGUGCCUUUGAUACUGGAAGUCUUGAGUAUGGUAGAGGUGAGUGAAAUUCCGAGUGUAGAGGUGAAAUUCGUAGAUAUUCGGAGGAACACCAGUGGCGAAGGCGGCUCACUGGACCAUUACUGACGCUGAGGUGCGAAAGCGUGGGGAGCAAACAGG